UCCCGCACACGCCCUUACCGGGUCCGGGAUCGAACCCGAGACCCUCGGGGGCUCUGGCCACAUGGGGCGGCGAGGCCAUUAGGGUGGAAGUGAAGGACCGGGUCCUGUGCUUCCUUAGCAGCGUCAGCGGCCCCGGGCCCUUCGCGCAGACAGGUCAUCAGGUGACCCCCGUGUCAGCGCGGACACUGAACCCUUCAGAUCCCGAGCUGCUGCAACCCCAGUAAAGGUUAAGUGCACCUCCAGGCCAUGGCUACACCCCAAUGAGCACCCUCAACGCCCCGCCCAUUUCCUGCUUUAGAGAUGGCGGAGAUGUCCCGGGGGCAGGGAGCACAUUGGUUAGUCAGCUUGGAAAUAACCCCUUCUCCACCAAACGGAAGUUCAUAAAAAGGAAAGUGUUCUGGCCCUGGCCGGGUGCUCAGUGGUUAGAACGUCGGCCGGUGGACUGAAGUGUCAGGGGUUCAUUCCAGAACCAAUGGAGAAGUGUCCUAGGGUGAAGAUGAACAGCAACAACAAAGCAAUCAGAGGGACAGGCAGCUGUCUGUCCAGCAAAUCAGAAGGGGACUUAGGAAGACCGUGAAGAGCAACCGCCUUGGGCAUGAGCUGCUCCAUUCUGUGCCCGGAAUCUGCUCCCACGGGGACCACGGGGUCUCAGCGCAGCUGCUGCUGGCUCUGCUUCUGGCCUAGACUCCUUGCGGACAAAGCCAGGCUAUAAGAUCCCUGUCAUCGAGAAUCUGGGUGCGACCUUAGACCGGUUCGAUUCGAUCGACUUUUCUGCCAAUGAAACCCGGAAGCUGGACGGCUUCCCGCUGCUGAGGAGACUGAAGACCCUCCUGGUGAACAACAACAGGAUCUGGGCGACCUGGACCCGCGGGCGGGCGUCGCUCAAGUCGCUGACCUACCUGAGAGGAGACCUGCGAGAUGGUGAAGUCCAACUGGCUGUGUGAGUGCAAGCUCUUCAUUCAGCUCUGCUGCCGGCCCCUGGGCGGCGGCCCCUGGAACUCAGCCCGCCGGCCGCAUACCUGUGGGGAUGGGACCCAAUGUGCACCCCAAGGCCUGCCUGGGAACCCCCACAUUUACCGAAUCUUGCAACCAAAGUGGAACGUCAAGCAUGUGGCCUUGCCCGACCCUUCUCACUGGGCUUCCAGCAUCUCCAAGGUCAACCUCAGCCUCCUGCGGGACGGGCAGUCCCCACGUGUGAUGAAGGGCCCCGCCGCCGGUGUCCUCCGCGCAGACUGUAAGCCAGACAGUCCGGCGGGACCUCCUGCUGCCAAACCUGUGUGGGCGUGUGGAUCAGCUGCCUGUUCCGGUUCUCCCCGAGGGGGGUCCUGUGAACAGAGAGCCCCAAUAUUUCCCUGGAAAUGCACAGAUCGGCUCCUGGGACCAGGAGUAACCUUUGCCUUAAACUUUCUCUUGAGCUUGGACGUUUCCAUUCAGUCUGGCUCCACCCUCGGUCCUCACAAAGCCGACCUGUCCCUGGGAGCUGGGCCCCCAACUCAAAGAGGUGGAUCGAACCCAUGACGCCAAGAAAGACGCCCUCAGAGCAAAUGCAGUGCUAACCCUAAGUUAAUAAAGAGUUAACAGCCCACA